rfam:Homo sapiens chromosome 13, GRCh38 reference primary assembly.
GCUGGGCGUGGUGGCUCACGCCUGUAAUCCCAGCACUUUGGGAGGCCGAGGUGGGUGGAUCACCUGAGGUCAGGAGUUUGAGACCAGCCUGACCAACAUGGUGAAACCCUGUCUCUA